rnacentral:lncRNA from 1 species
CUUGGAGGAGAAAGCAGAGUCGUGGAAGAGCCAGCGCGAACAGCCGAGUAGACAACAGAUAGAACUGUUGUAAGCAACCCUACUGCAAGUGUGCCACUGGAAACAGCCUUGGAGUGCUUAUGUAGACCGUUGCACUCAUAAUCCCUAGGUUCACUUGCAAGUGCACUGUAGCAAAGGUAUGUACAGUACAGAGAUAAAACUGAUGCAGGUAAAAUACUUCCACCUACCUACAUUUAGAAAAUAUGAUCUCUGAGAAAAGGAAAAAGAUCCAGAAUAUGGAACUCAUUCUGACCAAAAAAAUGGCAGGAAUCUUCAAAGUGAGACAAAUAUUUCAUUUUCAACAGCUGGUCAUUCACUGGCAAGCUUAAUUACCUCAAAACAAACAGAUCGACAUAACCUACUCUUUUCUUUCAGAAGAAGUACGUAGUGUGUUUGGAUAAUUCAACAGUCGAACAGGUAUUCUUUUCUCAUGCAUCAGAAAAUGGCAAAAGGUUGAACCUCCAGGAGGAACCAUUUAAUAUCAAACCAAACUUCUUACAACAUUUAGGAGGAAUUUAUUUUAUUUAUUGGGGUGGGCUAGUUGGAGGGAAGGAGACAGUAAAAGAGAUGGUUCUAUGGGAGCUGCCUGGAAAAGUUGAAUUAGAGAAUAUUUUUCAAAGCAUUUUGACCAAUCAAACAUGCGCCCUCUUCCAUGUUCAUGUGACAUUGUUUUUCAAGGAAACCAGUCAACCACUUUAUUUUUGAAGAAUCACGCUUAAUGUAUGGUCUGAAGUGGAAUUGCUUAAACCAGGACAUUUAGCUGCUGACAAGCAUAUUGGGUUCACCCUCAACUUGGCCCUUCAUAAUCCUUGAGCAAUAAUCAUGAAAACAAGUUCCUUAAAAUGAGGAAAAUGACUUCCCUAUUGAAAGUAGGGAAAAUAAGUUCUACGAGUGACAUUACAAGUUCAUUGUCUCCUCCCCAACCCCCACUCCCCACCCGAUCCGAUCCAAUCCCAUCCCAUGGGAGAUCUUAAAAAGAAGCACAUGAGGCACAACUUCAUUUAAAGUUUAGCCUUCCUUAACAUUGAAACAGGCAAUAAACCUAACUAUUUUCUUCAAAUUACUUAGAAUAAACAUUUCCUCAAGAUUGAAAGAGAGCAUAAAAAAAAUCAUGAGAGUAUUUGAAGAUAUGAUGAAGAAAUUGCUAACAUGUAGAGANCUCAUCAACCUUGUCCAAUGGUAGCAAAGGCUUCCCUGCACCUUCAAUGGAACAAGUAUAAGCCACCAGAUAUAAUAAGCACACCAAAAUGGACAAUGAAAGGUAAAAUUAGAGCCCAACAAAAUGAGAAGUUCUAUUACACCAUCAACACAGUCCAGCUCAAUCAAAUGACAGCAAAUUUAAUUGAUCAUUUAAAGAUUCAGGACUCUUAUCAUGUCUUACGGACAAAGUUUGAGGAACAUAACAUACACAGUUCCUACUAGUGAGAAUGAUAGACUUGUAACACCAUAAUAUAGCAUAGCCUUCCAAAAUAUUGGAAACUAACCUGCACGUGGUGAGCUUGGAGGAGAAAGCAGAGUCGUGGAAGAGCCAGCGCGAACAGCCGAGUAGACAACAGAUAGAACUGUUGUAAGCAACCCUACUGCAAGUGUGCCACUGGAAACAGCCUUGGAGUGCUUAUGUAGACCGUUGCACUCAUAAUCCCUAGGUUCACUUGCAAGUGCACUGUAGCAAAGGUAUGUACAGUACAGAGAUAAAACUGAUGCAGGUAAAAUACUUCCACCUACCUACAUUUAGAAAAUAUGA